UUAUUGUGCUGUCCAGUUCUUUCUGUCCUGCAGAGCCCCAGAAACACCAGAAACACCUUUGUUUUACUUUGGAGUGUUCUUUGAGUGCUUYCUUUUGUGCUCCAGCUCUUUCUGGGCCCUUUGACCUUGGUAGGACCCCUGUAGUCUCUGCAGACCCCCUUCCUGAGGCCUCAGUUCUGCUCCAGAACCCUCUGUCUGUUCUCUGACCUCAAAAGAAAGAGCAGCAGAGAAGCAACGCAUGUGCAGAUGCAGAGCAGUGUUCUGAGCAGACCCUGGAGAGAUGGAGG